AGAAAAACGAAUAUACAAUUUACUACUCAAGAAGAAUAAAAAAAGCGUAAUUUCACUAAAAACAGGGAUAAAGGGACGCUUAUUCCAGUGUGAGAGCGCUUCAAAAUUAGCGUCUUUUAUAACAUUUUGCGUUGUAGCCAGCUCAGUCAAAAUAAAAAUUGUUGGGCAUUUAAACUAAAACACCCAACAUUUAUUAAGAUUUAAAUUAUUAUAUAUAUAUCCGAUUAACACAUGGAGGAACUAUUUAAAUCCUUUUUUGUGAUUUUGUGAUAUUUUAAAACAACCGGUUUUUGAACAUUCAAUAGUUAAGAGAGUUGAGCAUUCCUUCAUCUCUGCUACAAAUUUGGCUUUUAGAGAGCAUUGCGGAAAAAUUGCAUUCCUAGAAUAAAACCAAUUCAGAUUGAUAAAUAUGCAAUUUAAACAUAAUUAUGUUGGAGGUUCAAGACGAUACAUGGAUUUUGAUUGGUAUUGGUAUACCAUCGUUUGUUGGAAAGAUUUUGCCUCAUUUUCACUCAUAAUUUGUAAACGUUACAAAGAACGAUUUGUGGAGCAUCGACAGAUUCUAUUGCAAGAUUUUGUAUAUUGGGCUUGUCGUCAUCCGGUACUGUGACAGUGCGAAGUGUGGCAUCAUUUUUUGACCUGCUACUGUGACAAGAUGUUGAAAUCAAGCAUAAGGAAAGCCAAACGUGACACAUAUGUAGGAGUCUCUUAUUGUUGGGCCAUAUCUCUUAACAUUAUCCAAUGAGACGGCGAAACGUUAUGAAACACAAUGUAAAAAAUAACUGCAACGUAUUGGUGAUGGCAGGUCGGACCUGGCAAAGGCCUUAAAUAGAGACGAGCGUCGUGCACCCUUAAAAACAACACCGUUAUCGGAAAGUGUUGGGCGUAAAGUUCGCCUCGGAUCGGAAAGUUAAACCAUAAAUUGGACUCGAUACCAUUCACAGACCGUUUUUAGUUCUACAGUCAAUACGACACGAGAGUUAGUCUCUUUUUAGUUACAUAUGCCUAAGGAAUGAAAGAACCUUGUGCCUAGCUUAAAGAUACCCAAAAGCCAAUAUUUCAGUAUCUACUAACUGGUAUUAGAGUAAUUAAUCUAAUUGCUACCUCGCUUGUCAAUCUCGUUCAUAAAUGGCUUCAUUUUCUAUG